rnacentral:rRNA from 1 species
GACGAACGCUGGCGGCGUGCUUAACACAUGCAAGUCGAACGGAAAGGCCCUGCUUUUGUGGGGUGCUCGAGUGGCGAACGGGUGAGUAACACGUGAGUAACCUGCCCUUGACUUUGGGAUAACCUCAGGAAACUGGGGCUAAUACCGGAUAGGAGCUCCUGCUGCAUGGUGGGGGUUGGAAAGUUUCGGCGGUUGGGGAUGGACUCGCGGCUUAUCAGCUCGUUGGUUGGGUAGUGGCUUACCAAGGCCUGGCCUGGUAGCCGGCCUGGGAGGGGAACCGGCCACAUGAGGCCUGAGGUACGGCACAGACUCGAACGGGAGGCAACGGAGGAGAGUAUUACACAGUGGGCGGGAGCCUGGUGCAGCAACGCCACGUGGGGGAAGACAGCCUGCGGGUAGUAAACCGCAGUAGCCUGAGACGAGGCGUGAGUGACGGUAAUGGGAGAAGAAGCACCGGCUAACUCCGUG